rnacentral:rRNA from 1 species
AGCGUUAUCCGGAAUUAUUGGGCGUAAAGCGUCCGUAGGUGGUUAUUCAAGUCUUUUGUUAAAUAGUGGAGCUCAACUCCAUAGAGGCGGAAGAAACUGUGUAACUUGAGUGCGGUAGGGGUAGAGGGAAUUCCAGGUGUAGCGGUGAAAUGCGUAGAUAUCUGGAAGAACACCAGUGGCGAGGGCGCUCUACUGGGCCGUAACUGACACUGAGGGACGAAAGCUAGGGGAGCGAAAGGG